UACAGAGGUCCCGAGCGUUGUUCGGAUUCACUGGGCGUAAAGCGCACGUAGGCGGAUCGCUCAGUCAGGGGUGAAAUCCCAGGGCUCAACCCUGGAACUGCCUUUGAUACUGUCGAUCUGGAGUAUGGAAGAGGUGAGUGGAAUUCCGAGUGUAGAGGUGAAAUUCGUAGAUAUUCGGAGGAACACCAGUGGCGAAGGCGGCUCACUGGUCCAUUACUGACGCUGAGGUGCGAAAGCGUGGGGAGCAAACAGG
rnacentral:rRNA from 1 species